rnacentral:tRNA from 1 species
GGAGGGAUAAUGCAGUGGUGAAGCACCUGGUACCCUCUGUAGUUGCAGCCACAGGUUGCAGGUUCAAAUCCUACUCUCUCCU